rnacentral:rRNA from 1 species
AACGAACGCUGGCGGCAGGCUUAACACAUGCAAGUCGAGCGCGUAGCAAUACGAGCGGCAGACGGGUGAGUAACGCGUGGGAAUCUACCGUACCCCACGGAAUAGCUCCGGGAAACUGGAAGUAAUACCGUAUACGCCCGAAAGGGGAAAGAUUUAUCGGGGUAUGAUGAGCCCGCGUUGGAUUAGCUAGUUGGUGGGGUAAAGGCCUACCAAGGCGACGAUCCAUAGCUGGUCUGAGAGGAUGAUCAGCCACAUUGGGACUGAGACACGGCCCAAACUCCUACGGGAGGCAGCAGUGGGGAAUAUUGGACAAUGGGCGCAAGCCUGAUCCAGCCAUGCCGCGUGAGUGAUGAAGGUCUUAGGAUUGUAAAGCUCUUUCACCGAUGAAGAUAAUGACGGUAGUCGGAGAAGAAGCCCCGGCAAACUUCGUGCCAGCAGCCGCCGUAAGAC